rnacentral:tRNA from 1 species
GGGCCAUUAGCUCAGUCUGGCUAGAGCGUCCGACUCUUAAUCGGAAGGUCGAGGGUUCAAAUCCCUUAUGGCUCA